GUAAAUAUAGCUUAAUCAAAGCAUUAGAUUGUGAAUCUAAAGAUAGAGAUUAGUAUUCUCUUAUCUACC
rnacentral:tRNA from 2 species